CGGCCGCGCUGCCCGGCGCCCGCAGCCCCCGCCGCCCCCCGCCCGCCCGGGACGCCGCGGGAUGAAGAGCUGCAUCCAGCCUCCUCCCGACAGGCUGAUAGUUUCAUUAAGGCAAAGAUCUGCAAUUAGCAGGAGCGAGUUGCUGGGCGCUGUCUGUCUCGUGGCUCGGGACAGACGUCGCAGCGUGGGCUCCGGGAGCUGCUCUGCGACCGCAGGGUGAUGCCAGAAGGAGCCCGGCAUGCCGUACCUGGACCGACAGAACCGUAUCUGCGGCUUCCUGGACAUCGAAGAAAAUGAGACCUGUGGCAAGUUUCUGCGGAGGUAUUUCAUCCUGGACACGCAGGCCAACCACCUCCUGUGGUACAUGGACAAUCCUCAGAACCUGGCCAUUGGAGCAGGUGCUGUCGGAUCUCUGCAGCUGACCUAUAUCUCCAAGGUUAGCAUUGCCACCCCGAAACAGAAGCCAAAAACUCCGUUCUGCUUUGUAAUCAACGCCCUCUCCCAGCGCUAUUUCUUGCAAGCCAGUGACCAAAAGGACCUGCAGGACUGGGUGGAGGCACUGAACAAGGCCAGUAAGAUCACGGUGCCAAAGGGUGGCAGCGUCCCACCGGCCACAGAAAUCACCAAGACUCCAGUGGUGCCCCAGGCCCAGGAGAGGAAGCCCCAGGUGGCCUACAAAACCGAGAUUGUUGGGGGGGUAGUGGUCCACACGCCCAUCUCCAUCAACCAGGACGGGGAGGGCAGCGAGGCGGGCGCCCACCCUCUGCUGCGGCGCUCGCAGAGCUACAUCCCCCCCUCGGCCACCAAGCCGCCCGCCGGGCCAGCUCCCCUCAAGAGUGGCUUCUGCGUCAAGCAGGGCAACGUGAGGAAGAGCUGGAAGCGGCGGUACUUUGUUCUGGAUGAGUUUUCCAUCAGUUACUACAAGUGUGAGCAGGACAAGGAGCCUUUGCGUUCGAUUCUCUUGAAAGAUGUUUGCAAGACCCACGAGUGCCUGGUCAAGUCUGGUGACCUCCUGAUGCGAGACAACCUCUUUGAAGUCAUAACAAGCUCCAGGACCUUCUACAUCCAGGCAGACAGCCCCGAGGAGAUGCACAGCUGGAUCCGCGCAAUCACAGGGGCGGUGCAGGCCCUGAAAACCCGUCCCAGGGAGAUGUCCUUCAUGAGAGCCACCUCCGUGGCCAGGCCCGGCGGCUCCUCGGGCCCCUCGCAGCCGCGGCCGUCGGCGGAGGAGCGGCGAGCCUCGUGCAAGGCGCCCUCCACGAGCUCCUGGCAGCCCUGGACGCCGGUGCCGCAGGCCGAGGGGCAGCGGCCGGCGCUGGGGGGGCUGCCAGCCCCGCUCAGGGACUCGGUGUUCGUGCCGGCGCUCACGGAGCGCCAGGGCAGGGCCGCGGCCGGCACGCGCCUGCGGCACCGCUCCGAGCCGCAGCACCUCAAGGAGAAGCCGUUCGCCUUCGACCUGGAUGAUGAAAGUAUCCGGACCUCCGACGUGUGAGAGAGCACCGAGACGCCCCCCGGCUCCACGCGCCGCCUCCCCGGAUCCCCGUGGGGCGGUUUGGGUCCCUUCCCUCCGCCACGGCCUUCCCUGUGACACAGGACCCACGUCCGCACGGCGCACCACCCCACCACAGGGUCCCUGGCUGCUCCUGCCCACGCCUGGCCCCAGUGGUUCCAUGUCUUGGAGGGUGCUUCAGGCACUGCCGGCGCUCACUGUGCAGGGCAGGAGGUGCUGGGGACCUGCAGAGGGGACAUCUUCUGCAAUUGCAUCGUUUACCCCACAAACCAGGUCUGGAGGAAGUGGCAGGUCUUGAAGGCGUGAGGGGGAGUGUGGCCUUUCUCGUGUUUGUAAAAUGUUUCUCUCCCCUCUGCUGCUGCUCAGAUUCCCCAGGGCAGAGCUGGGAGCCACCAGCCUGCAGCUGCCCACACAGGGGACCCACUGCAGCUUCCCCUUACGGUGACUUAUUCCCUCAGAGAUCUUCCCACUGCCCACACAAGGGUUUAUCAGCAAUCUGCUGGCUUUUAAUUAUGUCUUUUUAUACGUGUGGCUCCUGUUGAACCCCAGCCUGGGCAGGUACUCAGCCCCUCCACAACGCUUUUGGUACUUCCUGAGCAUGAGCCAGGGCAGGCAGCUGGAGCCACGGUGGCUCUCAGGUGGGAGAACCCUCAGGUGUGAGGUUGGUUUUGCACUGCACACACCUGGGCACAGGGAGCCGUGCCAGAUGGUGAAGGGCUUUUAGUGAAAAGCACUGAAACCCAGCCCUGGUGGAGCUGGGCAGACUUGUCCGGCCAACUCACCCACUGCCUGCCCGAGAUGGAAACCAGCAGGAGUUUCUAGAGCAAUGUGAAUCGUCAUUUCCAUAACCUAAUGAGCUCCUGUAGGUGUGAUAAGUAGUGUGUAGAAAAUCCAGGUGUUCCCUUGGCAGAGAUUGUCUGAUACCUUCACCCUGUAAGUGUGUGCAAUCCCCACAAGUGUGUGCAAUCCCCACAAGUGUGUGCAAUCUCCGUGUGCAGAGCGAGACCUCAGCUCCCCUUUCCCUUCCCUGGCUGUGACACGUCCUCUGCUCUGCAAGCUCAGCCCAGUGUGUUCCCCGGGAGCAGAACAUCUGCUUUGUCCCAGCCCUUUUGGGGCCUCCAGCUGUUUGGCAGCUGUGCCUGAGCCUUGACUAGCCUGACUGACCUUAAUGUGAUGCCAGUUGUACUUUUCUGCCUCAGUGCCCGUGGGGCUGCUGCAGGAUGGGCACAGCACAGGCACCUCUGUGCUGCUGGGGGAGGCAGGAAUGGGCUCCCCCAAGUUCCAGGGGGAAGAGGGUCUCAAAGGGGAUUGUGUGGAGGUGUUGGAGGACACAGAGACCAUGAAAAUGAGUGGGAAUUGAUGCAAAUGGUACAGGGUGAGUGUUAAUAUUAUUUAAUUGUAGCUACCUUGAUCCUGCUGUUCCUUUUUCUGCUCCUUUUUGCUUUAUUUGCACUAGAGUUUGAAACUUUCAUUUUUUUAGGCUGACUUGCUGUUUGGCUCCUAACACUGUUUUAGUAGUUUGGCAAGCCCAUCCAUCAGAGAGUUGCAGCGUUCUGAUCUCAGUUUUGGAGAGCAGGGAAUGCAGAGGGAUGAUGGUUCUUUUGUGCAAGGCCUUGGAACCACAGACUCCUGAGUAUUCCUGGUGCUUGAUAAUUGCACAGUUUCCUCAGGCCUGGGAAGGUAAAGCAGAGGCUUGUUGCACAAUUAAGGUAAUUAUCCAGGAGCAGAAACUACCAGUGGCUCCAGCACUAUUGCAACAUUCCUCUUGCUCGUUCCCACCCUCCUGCAUCCCCAGGACAGCAGAGGCUGAAGGUGAGGUUCAGACAAGCGUGGAGCUCAGCUGGGCUCCAGAGCCAUCCACAACACAGGUGGUGUUGGGAGGGAGGGAUUUCCCUGCCGUUCCAGAGGGCUGGGUGGAUGCAGCCAGACCUCGAUGGAGCUUUGUGGUUGUUUCAAAUCAAACUGGUUUCCCUCAGCUCUGUGUUGGCUCCUGGCUCAGGCGUGGAUGGACGCACCCCCUGAAGCUGCUCCCUCCUGAAUUGUGGGCUGGGGGUGCUGCACAUUUGGGGCCAGAGCAGUGGGAGAGAGGGGUUUGCUAUUCCCACGUGGUUCCAGAUGUUUCUGGAAGCGCUGCCUGGGGAUUCCAAGUGCUCUUAGGGCUGGGGCCCUCUGUGACUCCCAGGGUGGGGGCUACGUGCCUCCCACCCCUCGCCUGUACAUGCUGCAAUGCCCUUUGUCCCCCGUGUUUUUAAAUAAAGAAGGAAAUGCCAGUUACUUUC